rnacentral:rRNA from 1 species
GAUGAACGCUGGCGGCGUGCCUAAUACAUGCAAGUCGAGCGAACGGACGAGAAGCUUGCUUCUCUGAUGUUAGCGGCGGACGGGUGAGUAACACGUGGAUAACCUACCUAUAAGACUGGGAUAACUUCGGGAAACCGGAGCUAAUACCGGAUAAUAUUUUGAACCGCAUGGUUCAAAAGUGAAAGACGGUCUUGCUGUCACUUAUAGAUGGAUCCGCGCUGCAUUAGCUAGUUGGUAAGGUAACGGCUUACCAAGGCAACGAUGCAUAGCCGACCUGAGAGGGUGAUCGGCCACACUGGAACUGAGACACGGUCCAGACUCCUACGGGAGGCAGCAGUAGGGAAUCUUCCGCAAGGGGCGAAAGCCUGACGGAGCAACGCCGCGUGAGUGAUGAAGGUCUUCGGAUCGUAAAACUCUGUUAUUAGGGAAGAACAUAUGUGUAAGUAACUGUGCACAUCUUGACGGUACCUAAUCAGAAAGCCACGGCGAACUACG